CCUCCCCUUUGCCCAGAGCUCCCCCUUGUCUGAUGCUCUUUUAUGAUGCCUAUCAGCAGCCCCUCUGCUUUUUUUCUUUUCUUCUUAAGGCUUAUCCUUGAUGCUAAUUUUUGACCUGAUUUGAUUCCAUUUGGAUAAAAACUCAUAAAAAGGGAAAAUGGAGGCAUUGGGAUACAUAAAAAGUGGAAGACCUUGUUUGCCCAAGAAAAAUUCCUCCACGAUGGACCAGGUUGGGGAUAAUAACAGAGGGGGCAGAUUAAUUACUGGCUGGC